CCUACGGGAGGCAGCAGUGGGGAAUAUUGCACAAUGGGGGAAACCCUGAUGCAGCGACGCCGCGUGAGUGAAGAAGUAAUUCGUUAUGUAAAGCUCUAUCAGCAGGGAAGAAAAUGACGGUACCUGAGUAAGAAGCCCCGGCUAACUACGUGCCAGCAGCCGCGGUAAUACGUAGGGGGCAAGCGUUAUCCGGAUUUACUGGGUGUAAAGGGAGCGUAGACGGGAGUGCAAGUCUGGAGUAAAAGGCGGGGGCUCAACCCCCGGACUGCACUGGAAACUGUACGGCUGGAGUGCAGGAGAGGUAAGUGGAAUUCCUAGUGUAGCGGUGAAAUGCGGAGAUAUUAGGAGGAACACCAGUGGCGAAGGCGGCUUACUGGACUGUAACUGACGUUGAGGCUCGAAAGCGUGGGGAGCAAACAGGAUUAGAUACCCGAGUAGUC
rnacentral:rRNA from 1 species